AUUGAACGCUGGCGGCAUGCCUUACACAUGCAAGUCGAACGGCAGCACGGGAGCAAUCCUGGUGGCGAGUGGCGAACGGGUGAGUAAUAUAUCGGAACGUGCCCGGUCGUGGGGGAUAACCGUAGCGAAAGCUACGCUAAUACCGCAUACGAUCUACGGAUGAAAGCGGGGGAUCGCAAGACCUCGCGCGAUUGGAGCGGCCGAUAUCAGAUUAGGUAGUUGGUGAGGUAAAGGCUCACCAAGCCGACGAUCUGUAGCUGGUCUGAGAGGACGACCAGCCACACUGGGACUGAGACACGGCCCAGACUCCUACGGGAGGCAGCAGGUGGGAAUUUUCCGCAAUGGGCGAAAGCCUGACGGAGCAACGCCGCGUGAGGGAGGAAGGUCUUUGGAUUGGUAAACCUCUUUUCUCAAGGAAGAAGUUCUGACGGUACUUGAGGAAUCAGCCUCGGCUAACUCCGUGCCAGCAGCCGCGGUAAUGU
rnacentral:rRNA from 1 species